CUUCUCUGCAAUCAAACAGAUGACAGGGCUCAAACACCACGAGAACAGAAACGCGUAUACAUUUUACCAGACUGAACUGCUGCUGCAAUAAGCAGUUGCUUAUGGAAGCUGCAAAUCACAGGGCGUGUUUGUCCAGCAGUUUGAGCAAGGUACAGGGUUUUCUGAAUUCUGUGCUGUGUAACUCUGUGGACUGAACUCCCUAAUUCUCUGUGGAGCUAUUGGUCAAAUGGAUUUAGAAUAUGCUGCACACGACGGGCUCUUUGUGAGCGGCUUUGAGGCCUGUGGAAUGAAUGCCAAGUGUCAGUGCAGACAGUUCAGAUAGAACUGUCUGCUCUGUAAUCCUUACUCACAGUGACAAAUGACCUAGGCAGCACUAGCUGAGACCAGUUCUUCUGGUUAAAAAAAAGUGUGGGUGGUGAAAGAAGUGCAAGAACUGGGCCCAGAGAGAGAGAAGAGGUAACAGUCAUGCAUAAAAAGGUGAUACAAGAGGCUGAAGCUCAAACUAAAACGGCACGCAAGAUUUGAAAGCUGGGAGAACAGGAAAAAGGGAAGGGAAGAAAUCAGCGGAGACUACCUUCUCGCUGGCAACCUGACCAUCAGGCAGAGUAGUCAGCUGCUGAAUGUCAACACGAUGUCACGCGAGGGCAGGCAGUCUUUUACAAAAUACACACAAGGAUGGAACAAGGCAAGGACUUUCUUCAAGGGCACAGCAGCUAAAACAUAUUCCUGGAAAUAUCUUUUCCCAGUGCUUUCCUUCCCGAGAAGUUUAGGCUUGAUUGGCUCGAGACCAAUCUCUGCUUAGUGGAGUUAAGUGGCAGAGCUCACACGCAUGUAACAGAUGAGCACAAACAACACGCGUCAGCAUUCCCGGUACACCCGCUCAGGGCGAGGCUUCUCAACUCUGCACGCAGCAGCUCAGGGGAUUUUUUCACCCUGAGCUAAAUCCAGAAGCACAGUUGUUCAAAAGACUCAAGAAAGACUCUGAGAACCUGCCUGCCUUACAGCAUUCCCAACAGAAAUUGUAAUUGAAAAGAAAAAAAAAAAACCAAAACACCCCACCAAACAAACCUCAGUGGACAAGUGGAUUGAAUUUAAUACUGGAGAGGAUUAUGCAAAUGCUUUAAAAUGCUGAAAUUGCAAGUCCUCACCACCAGGAAAAGGAGGGAAAGCCCCAGCACCACACCACAAACUGCUCCAGCAAUCAUGCCGAUAUUUUGUGCAUCUGUUGUCCAGAAAACAAACGUGCUAGUCGGUUAUACAGAGGACUGCUGUGCAAACCGUAAGUGCAAUAAAUAAGAACUACAUCAUGCGAUUCAAGUCUGAAAGGGCGAAGGUGUGGCACAGAGUGUGCCAGCCCG